UUCUUAUAAUCACAAUAUAAAAAACCUUGAGAGAAAACAAAGUUCCUCUCCAGUCGGGGUCACAGGGACACUAAGAUUGCUGUCUGGACCUUCCCUAACCAUGCUGUCCCGAGUAGUACUUUCUGCCUCCACCACAGUGGCCACCUCUCUGAAGAACUCUGCCCUCCUAGGUCCAAGGGUGUCACAGGCAACAAGGAUCUGUCACACUGGACAGCCAAGUCUUGCCCCUCUACCACCUCUUCCUGAAUAUGGAGGAAAAGUUGGUUUUGGUCUGAUCCCUGAGGAAUUCUUCCAGUUUCUUUAUCCUAAAACUGGUGUAACAGGACCCUGUGUGCUCGGAUUUGGGCUUAUCUUGUAUUUUCCAUCAAAGAAAUAUAUGUGAUUCCCCUGGAGACCUUCUCUACCAUAUCAAUAGUAGGAUUGUUUGUCUAUGUAGUUAAAAAAUAUGGUGCCUGUAUUGGAGAAUUUGCUGAUAAACUCAAUGAGCAGAAACUUGCCCACCUAGAAGAGGUGAAGCAAGCUCCCAUCAAACAAAUCCAGGAUGCAAUUGAUUUGGAGAAGUCACAGCAGGCACUGGUUCAGAAGCAGCAUUACCUUUUUGAUGUCCGGAGGAAUAACAUUGCUAUGACCUUAGAGCUUACUUAUCAGAAUGGCUACGUAGAGUAUAUAAGGAGGUGAAGAAUUGCCUGGACUGUCACAUUUCUGUGUAGAAUAUGAUGCGUCAAAAGGAACAGGAGCACAUGAUAAAACUGGGUGGAAAAGCAUGUGGUGCAGAGCAUCUCUGCACAGCAGGAAAAGGAGACAAUUGCCAACUGCAUUGCAGAUCUAAAGCUGCUCACAAAGAAAGCAAAAGUACAGCCAGUUCUGUAAA